rnacentral:rRNA from 1 species
AUUGAACGCUGGCGGCAGGCCUAACACAUGCAAGUCGAGCGGAUGAAGGGAGCUUGCUCCUGGAUUCAGCGGCGGACGGGUGAGUAAUGCCUAGGAAUCUGCCUGGUAGUGGGGGAUAACGUCCGGAAACGGGCGCUAAUACCGCAUACGUCCUGAGGGAGAAAGUGGGGGAUCUUCGGACCUCACGCUAUCAGAUGAGCCUAGGUCGGAUUAGCUAGUUGGUGGGGUAAAGGCCUACCAAGGCGACGAUCCGUAACUGGUCUGAGAGGAUGAUCAGUCACAUGGGAACUGAGACAGGGUCCAGACUCCGACGGGAGGAAGCAGUGGGGAAUAUUGGACAAUGGGGGAAAGCCUGAUCCAGCCAUGCCGCGUGUGUGAAGAAGGUCUUCGGAUUGUAAAGCACUGUAAGUUGGGAGGAAGGGCAGUAAGUUAAUACCUUGCUGUUUUGACGUUACCAACAGAAUAAGCACCGGCUAACUUCGUG